rnacentral:rRNA from 1 species
UACGUAGGGGGCAAGCGUUGUCCGGAAUUAUUGGGCGUAAAGAGCGCGUAGGCGGUCCGAUAAGUCGGCUGUGAAAGUCAGGGGCUCAACCCUUGGAAGCCGGCCGAUACUGUCGGACUAGAGUCCGGAAGAGGCGAGUGGAAUUCCCGGUGUAGCGGUGAAAUGCGCAGAUAUCAGGAAGAACACCCGUGGCGAAGGCGGCUCUCUGGGACGGUACUGACGCUGAGACGCGAAAGCGUGGGGAGCGAACAGG